AAUCUCUAGAGCCAGGAUUCUUACAGUGUUAAAGUUCAGUGUCUAAUUUAACUGCUUAAUGCUUAAUAUAUUAAUAAUAUAUAACGACAACUUACACUGUCAUAAAUGCUAGGACAGAAAAGUAAUGUUUUGCGUCACACGAUUUUGGACAUAAUUUUUGAGUAACACAGAGUACAUUAUCACAUGUCCUUUGAGAUGAACUGAUGGGUGAUGCAUUUCGACGACAGCUGAGAAGUGAUGCGAUACCAUCGAUAUACUUUCCUUCACAACAAAAUGGAAGAUUCUCAAUUAGAAGUAACCUAACGUUAGCUAGCUUAGUUGGACUAGCUGGGUAAAUUAGCUAGCUAACGUUACAGUCCUAUUGAACUCUGAAAGCCAUCAGCUAACGUUAAAUCAUAUCGCUAAGUUAUCUUUUGGUAUACACUGUCAAUCAAUUAACGUUACGCUUAUGGCUGCCAUGGUAAUCACUGCUAGACUGGUAGCUAGCUAAGUUACCUUCAGCAGGGUGAACAUGUUUGUUUGUUCGUUCUGAUGCUAGCUAAUGUUACUCUUAUUUGGUGUUUUAAUUUGGUAGCGACCCAUUCACCCUUGUGUGGUGGUAUAGAAUCUUCCACCAUGAUGCGCUUCCAACCCCUGGCUCAGCACAAGGUGAAGGAGAUGUGCAGUACCAGGAAAUAUUCUGCAAGAGGACCAAACAGUUGGUGGUUAAGAAGCCCUACACCACUUUCGGCAGAGCCUUAUCCAGCUGGCCAUUCACCGCAGACAGAACAAGCCCAUCGCCAUAGCACAAAGAGUCUCCGCUUCCCCAGUGCACCAUGCCAAACUCAAUUGCCAGUGUACCGAAGCCAGAUAAAGGACUAUGGCUGCAUUUACACAGGCAGCCCAAUUCUGAUAUUUUUUCACUAAUGGGUCUUUUGAUCAAUCAGCUCUGUUGUGAAAAAAAUAUCAGAAUUGGGCUGUCUGAGUAAACGCAGACAGUGUGGCUCAGCAUAAGAUCAUGUAGAACACACUGGAGGAUACUGAGGGGAGAAUGGCUCAUAAUAAUGGCCAGGACGGAGCAAAUGGAAUGGUAUCAAACACAUUGAAACUAUGUGUU